rnacentral:rRNA from 1 species
AGCUCCAAUAGCGUAUAUUAAAGUUGCUGCAGUUAAAAAGCUCGUAGUUGCAUUUCCGAGGCAAGGGAUUAGUCCGACCUUUGGUGGGUAUUUAAUCCUCUUGCCUCGUCCUUGAGUGGUGCUUCUUGGUAUUAAGUUAUCGAGGAGAUAGCCGCUCAUCGUUUACUGUGAGAAAAUUAGAGUGUUCAAAGCAGGCUUAUGCCGUUGAAUAUAUUAGCAUGGAAUAAUAAGAUAGGACCUCGGUACUAUUUUGUUGGUUUGAGAACCAAGGUAAUGAUGAAUAGGGACAGUUGGGAGUAUUCGUAUUCAGUUGUCAGAGGUGAAAUUCUUAGAUUUACGGAAGACGAACUACUGCGAAAGUAUUUACCAAGGAUGUUUUCA